AAUGUUUUUCUAAUAUUUAUAAAAAGUAUUUUAUAUUUUUGUGGCAUCAUUAAAAUCAGUAAACUCUACUAUUAGGGAAAGAUAAACGCAUACAGAAGAAGCAUAAACGGAUAAGGAAAUAAGAAUGCCUGAUUGCUGUUUUUCCCUCUUCUCGUCCGUCUUUCUCUGUUUCUUCCUCUGCAAGGCAAAUGAUCAGCGGCAGAACUCGCUGACGUGCUCGCGGCUUUACUUCCAUAUUAGAGGAGGAAUCUGUUGCCUUUCGUUGUCGCCGGCAACUUUGACUGACCAUUUCCUCGCCUUGUCGUGUGUGGUGUGGGUGUAUACGUCGGGUUAGCAAGCAGAAGAGGAGAGGAUGACCAGGUUGCUGAUCUUCGUGCUUGGAGAUCGCUCGUAUGGAGCUGAUUCGACGUCACACAUGACGGGGAUUCUGUUUAUGCUGGGCUUGGUGGCAGCGACGAUAUCCAUCAUGGCAGUCGUCAUCUUCAACUGCGGCGACAGCAAUGAGCCGACGCCUAAGCGCAGGGCUUCCGGCGCCGCCGCAGCCGCCAUGGGGUACUACGGUGACGGCGGCGCAUGUGGCGGCGGCGCAUGUGGCGGCGGAGGCGGCGGCGGAUGUGGCGGCGGAGGCGGAUGUGGCGGCGGAGGCGGCGGCGGAGGCGGAGGCUGUUGAUGUGGCUGUGGUUGCUGAGGCCAUGGUUGGCAGACGCAUCUAUUAUGAACUCUUAGCAUCUAAAUAAGCGCAGUGCCCAUCUCACUGAUUCUUUUCUUGAUGCAAUAUAGGACACAAGUGCUAUACAUGUGAUGCAGCCUUUUGAGUUCGCAACUAUUUUCGUCGAUGCUCCGUGGUAUACUACUCAUAAGUGAUACAGUGUUUAUUUCUUUCAAGAUUCAAAGACAACAACAUACACACUA